rnacentral:rRNA from 1 species
GAUGAACGCUGGCGGUGUGCCUAAUACAUGCAAGUCGAGCGAGAAGCUUAUGAACGAUUCUUCGGAUGAGUGAUUAAGUGGAAAGCGGCGGACGGGUGAGUAAUGCGUGGGUAACCUGCCCUAUACACGGGGAUAGCAGUUGGAAACGACUAUUAAUACCCGAUACUCUAGGAGAAUCGCAUGAUUUUUCUAGGAAAGAUUUAUCGGUAUAGGAUGGACCCACGUCUGAUUAGCUAGUUGGUGAGGUAACGGCUCACCAAGGCGACGAUCAGUAGCCGACCUUAGAGGGUGAUCGGCCACACUGGGACUGAGACACGGUCCAGACUCCUACGGGAGGCAGCAGUAGGGAAUAUUGGGCAAUGGGGGAAACCCUGACCCAGCAACGCCGCGUGAACGAAGAAGGUCUUAGGAUUGUAAAGUUCUUUUCUUGAGGAAGAAGAAAGUGACGGUACUCAAGGAAUAAGCACCGCCUAACUACGUGCCAGCAGCCGCGGUAAUACGUAGGGUGCAAGCGUUAUCCGGAAUCACUGGGCGUAAAGGGUGCGUAGGCGGUCUCGCAAGUCAGAAGUUAAAUCCAUUGGCUCAACCAAUGUCAGCUUUUGAAACUGCGUGACUUGAAUUCAGGAGGGGCAAGUGGAAUUCCUAGUGUAGCGGUGAAAUGCGUAGAUAUUAGGAGGAACAUCAGUGGCGAAGGCGACUUGCUGGACUGAAAUUGACGCUGAGGCACGAAAGCGUGGGGAGCGAACAGG